rnacentral:rRNA from 1 species
ACAAACAGCUAGGAUGUUGGCUUAGAAGCAGCCAUACAUUUAAAGAGUGCGUAAUAGCUCACUAGUCGAGUGAUCCUGCGCCGAAGAUAAACGGGGCUGAAACUUACUACCGAAGCUUUGGAAUUAGGUAACUAAUUGGUAGAGGAGCAUUCUAUACAGGAAGAAGGAGGCGCGUAAGCAAAUCUGGACAGUAUAGAAGAGAGAAUGUUGGCAUGAGUAGCGUAAGGCGGGUGAGAAUCCCGUCCGCCGAAAAUCUAAGGUUUCCUGAGGAAGGUUCGUCCUCUCAGGGUAAGUCGGGACCUAAGCCGAGAGCGAACGCUGUAGGCGAUGGAUAACAGGUUGAUAUUCCUGUACCACCGAGGAUUGUUUGAAUGAAGUGGGGACACAGAAGGAUAGAUUGAGCACGCCGUUGGUUGAGCGUGUCCAAGCAGUGAGGCUUGAAAGUAGGAAAAUCCGCUUUCUGAAAGGUUGAGCUGUGAUGGGGUGGUCUAAGACCGGUAGCAAUCGAUUUCACGCUGUCAAGAAAAGCCGCUAAUGAGAUCCAAGGUGCCCGUACCGCAAACCGACACAGGUAGAUGAGGAGAGAAUCCUAAGGUGAGCGAGAGAACUAUUGUUAAGGAACUCGGCAAAAUAACCCCGUAACUUCGGGAGAAGGGGUGCCCACGUGAGUGGGCCGCAGUGAAGAGGUCCAGGCAACUGUUUACCAAAAACACAGGUCUCUGCUAAAGCGAAAGCUGAUGUAUAGGGGCUGACGCCUGCCCGGUGCUGGAAGGUUAAGGGGAAGUGUUAGGGCAACCGAAGCACAGAACUUAAGCCCCAGUAAACGGCGGCCGUAACUAUAACGGUCCUAAGGUAGCGAAAUUCCUUGUCGGGUAAGUUCCGACCCGCACGAAAGGCGUAAUGAUUUGGGCACUGUCUCAACGAGAGACUCGGUGAAAUUUUAGUACCUGUGAAGAUGCAGGUUACCCGCGACAGGACGGAAAGACCCCAUGGAGCUUUACUGCAGUUUGAUAUUGCGUAUCUGUUACACAUGUACAGGAUAGGUAGGAGCCAAGGAAGAGUGAACGCUAGUUUACUUGGAGGCGAUGUUGGGAUACUACCCUUGUGUGAUGGCUACUCUAACCCGGUAGGUUGAUCAUCUACGGAGACAGUGUCUGACGGGCAGUUUGACUGGGGCGGUCGCCUCCUAAAGAGUAACGGAGGCGCCCAAAGGUUCCCUCAGCGCGGACGGAAAUCGCGCGAAGAGUGCAAAGGCAGAAGGGAGCUUGACUGCGAGACCAACAAGUCGAGCAGGGACGAAAGUCGGGCUUAGUGAUCCGGUGGUUCCGAGUGGAAGGGCCAUCGCUCAACGGAUAAAAGCUACCCCGGGGAUAACAGGCUUAUACCCCCCAAGAGUUCACAUCGACGGGGGUGUUUGGCACCUCGAUGUCGGCUCGUCUCAUCCUGGGGCUGGAGUAGGUCCCAAGGGUUGGGCUGUUCGCCCAUUAAAGAGGUACGCGAGCUGGGUUCAGAACGUCGUGAGACAGUUCGGUCCCUAUCCGCUGUGGGCGUUGGAAAUCUGAGUGGAGCUGUCCUUAGUACGAGAGGACCGGGACGGACUUACCUCUGGUGCACCAGUUGUCUUGCCAAGGGCAUAGCUGGGUAGCUAAGUAGGGAAGGGAUAAGCGCUGAAAGCAUCUAAGUGCGAAGCCCCCCACGAGAAAAGAUUUCCCCCGAAAGGUAAGGUCCGUGGGAGACUACCACGUAGAUAGGUCGGAGGUGU